UGGGGGAUAGUAUAAUACAUUACUUGGCGCUUACAACGUUAGAAUAGAGAGUAAACUCUUCCUCCUA
rnacentral:tRNA from 1 species